CUCCUCCUCCUCCUCCUCCUCUUCCUCUUCCUUUUCUUCUUCUUCUUCUUCUUCUUCUUCUUCUUCUUCUUCUUCUUCUUCUUCUUCUUCUUCUUCUUCUUCUUCUUCUUCUACAUAAAUACCUGUAACAGUACAUGUGACAUUUAAGAAAUCCUUCCUGUACUAUCAUAUUAGUAGGUACAGUGCAUGUCUCCAAGUGUAUAUUUGACAGUGAUACACCAUUCCUUUUAUUAACUGUAUGUUUACAUGGAGACCUUGGACGUCCAUCUAGUGUGUGCAAACAGUAAAAAAAAGUUAUUGUAUAAUUUUUGACACAUUAUAGAGAUCAUCGUGGGGAGCGGUGCCUUAUUAGCCUAGAUUAUCCACUGAUCUGUAAUUGUGAAGCAGAUUUCAACAGGAUCCAUAUUGCUGCUAUGACUCCCAGCAUGACCUGCAGUGGGAAUUUUAUUGGUAUAUUGUUCCAAUUUGAAAACCUACCUAUCACACAGGAAAAGGCAAAGUGACAUGAACCAUUCCAUAAAAGCCUUGUCUUAUGAAGUCUCAGUUUUGGCAGGCGAAUACUAUUUGACUUCUAGUGGCCUGCAUUUGAGGGAAAACUAGAGACUUAUCAUGUGGCAUUGGAGGCAGCCAAAUAGAUCACCCAAAUCUGUCAAUAAGUUAGCAAUCUUUAAUGAUUUAGAUUUAGCAAAUAUGUACCAUAAUGAGGUGGUGAAUGGACUGCACCUCUUCAAACAGUCUAUACUAUAGGAAGUAGCAUUGUGUUUUUUUAUUUUAAAAGCUCUUGUAAACAGAAAACUAGUGCAGCAUGCAAAGCACUCUCUGUGAUGUGCUAGCUUCCUUUUGCAAAACCCUGAAGAAAUCUUCCAAUCUGCAUCUGGCAACACUCCACUGUCUCCAAAUCUCCAGGAUUUUCUCAAGCUGGAGUUGACCACCCUAUUACAAGGAGUAGCAGUGGGUCAACAUAUAGGGAGCUCCAGUCUCCCUCAGCUGCAGUCUGAACAAGUGAUACAGCAUUUCAUCUGCCACCUCCUUCUGCCACAUGUGUAGGCUUCACCUCAGUGAAGAAGCUGUGGGUGAUUUUUGUCCCAGCUUUACCACUGACAAAUGCUUUACUGUUGUUUGAUAAACCGCUUGAUUCCCUAGAAAGGCUGAAAGUUGUGAUUCAAAUUGCAGUGAAUCUAAUGGUAACUCUGGUUGCCUCUCUUCCCUCCGUGUGCCUUCUACCUACUCAAAAUGAACCUUGUAAUAUACUGACAAUAAUGCUACAUGCCAAGGACCAAAUUGUAAAUUUAACAUUAAUUCGUUCUGUUGCAUUUUCCUAAGAAUUUUCUAAUUGAAGAAAAUUCUUGUUCUUGCUUUGGGUUCCAUCAACAGCUUUAUGGCUCAUACAUUUUGUGUGAGAUUGCCAGCUGAUAAAAAGAAUCAGUUGCAUAGUUCAAGAUGCCAAUUGCUUCCAAAAACUGAUCUAGAACAAACAUGUUUCCUUAACUGUCUCCUCAACUGCUGUGCCGUGAGUCUUUGUGAGUGGCCUUCUAGGCCCUGCCAUAGACUGAAGUCAGGUGGAAAACAAAAUAAAUGUUAUGCUCUAAAGCUGCAAUCCGGGGGGGGGGGGGGGAUCCACGGAAAUCACUGCCAUUUACUUUCAAGUGUGCAUGCAUAGGAUAAUGCCACAUUUCAUGAGAUUUCUGAGUUUGGGUUGAGACACAGAAAUUCAUUUAAAAACAGGAGAUAGUAUAAUACUAUAUGAGUAUUAGACAGCUGCUGACUUAGGUUAAGAAGGAACAUUUAUUUGGACACAUUAAAAGGCUUGGAUAUGUUCUGUGGGAUAUUUUUAAAACUACAGAUCCAUUGCAUAUCAACAAUCUGCUUUCAAAAAGCCACUGAGUGUUUGUCGUCUGGUAUGGGGUAACAACUUAUAAGCAGAUUGGACCAUUUGAUAUGUUUUUUGAAUCCAAUAAAAGGCUUGCAGUAGCUACUUGCCAAAGCAGAACUCUUCCUUCCCAGGCCACUGAAAGACCAAAAAGCUGAUUCUGAAAAUCAUGUGACCUGAACAACAACAACAAAAGCUCAUAUCAAAGAGAAGCCAAACAAAAUCACCCACCAUCUUGUUAAUGUACCAAUAGACAUAGCAAAUAGAAAGACAGAAGAAUUUCACUUCCUUACCCCUCUUAGUUAUCCCCCCCCCCCCCCCCCUCUCAAGCUGGCUGCAUUGCUUUUAAUCAUCUGGGUUCUGUGAUGUCCAGCAUCAACUUUCAAACAUCUCAGGGACUGCUACUGCAAAGGGAAUAUCUGCAGGAAAUGUCUGCAUCCAUGAAUGUCCCUGUACUCAUGCUUUGUUGUUAAGGUUGCCAACCUCCAGGUGACGGAGAUCGGUUUCCCUGGGAAAAAUGGCUGCUUUGAAAGGUAGCCUCUACAGCAUUCAAACCCUGCUGAUGUCACGUUCCUCUCCUUCCCAAACUCCACCCUCCCUAGACUUCACCCCCAAAAUCUCCUGGUAUUUCCCUACCCAGAGCUGAAAACCUUAUUAGUCCUUAAACUUCAGAAAGAAACAGCUUGAAGGUUAUCGAUCCUUAUUAUUAACUGGUUCCUGUAGGCCUUUUAUGCCAAGAACAGUCUUUGUUCUUCUCUAUAUCUAGCAAUUACAUCAUCCAAUCAUAUAUCUGUGAAAAGUCAGUAUCAAAACACUCUGAGGAGAACCAUGAGACCCAGAAGUCCUUGGAGGAAGGGCAAGAUAAAAUGUAAAAUAAUAAGGUAACAAUAAGAUAAGAUAGAAAUGAUCAAUGUAAUAAAUAAAAAAUGUAAUAAAUAGCAAGUCCACUGUGCCAUGUGUAGGAUUUGUAGUUUGAUCUCUGUGUGUGCAUGUUUCGAAAAUGCAUGCACCUAAACAUUAAAAAGAUUUGCUUGCUAUGGUGA